rnacentral:tmRNA from 1 species
GGGGUCGUCACGGUUUUGACAGCAGGUGCGAUUUUUAUGUAAGCAUGCCGAGCGUUGUGAAUAUGGCUCGUAAAUAUCAACUCUCACUCGUCUAACUGGCGAAAACAAUUACGCGUUAGCUGCUUAGUUUUAGAAAUUAAGCACUUUCUACUUCCCGGGAAGCUCUUCUCUACUGCGUCCCGUUAAAGUAUCACAAAUGUUGAGAUAGUUUGGUCAGAAUCCCGAUGAUCAGGCGAAAUUAAGGGAAUAAGGUUGUGGUUGGUUUGACUUAUACCGGCCACUUCUCGAAAAUUAAAUAAGAGCUACGCAUGUAGAAAGCUUAUUAAUUCCUUGUUUGGACGAGGGUUCGAAUCCCUCCGACUCCACAG